CCUUAGUGUUCUUGGUAGAUUGCUAAUUUGCUCACUAUCAAUUGGUGCUUUCAUUACUACUCUAAAAUGCCUCCCAAAGAUCCAAAAUCGUCACUUACAAAGCUUUUAUUGGAAAAACUAAAAGAAAAUCAGAAACAAGAGGAUGCUAGGCAUGAAGCUAUGGUUGAAGCACUUAAAUCCAUCACUAUCAAAUUAUCACAACUCACAGUCCAACCCUCGCCACCACCAGAUCCACCAGACCCUAACCCUCUUUCUCAUAUAACCACCAACACCCCAAUACCACCACACAUAACAACAACAACCACACAAUCUAACCUUCCUCAUCUCUACUAUCACAAACAUAUCCCACAAUCUCAUGAGGAGAUGCAAGUUCACCAUCAACACAACCAACAAUAGCUACAACCUAUUGCACCACAUAGCCAAAUCUUGUCAUUGACUCACCAACCAGUCCCACGAGCACAGUCUCAUGCCAUUAACUCCAAGAAUGAGGAGAAAGAAGCUAAGAAAAGCCAAUGGUUUGGUGAUGAUUUCACUAACUUGUUAUAUACUUCUAAAAAUUUUAUUACUUCGUCACAAUGGGGGAUUGCAAGCCACUCUUUG
rnacentral:lncRNA from 1 species